rnacentral:rRNA from 1 species
UACGGAGGGUGCAAACGUUGCUCGGAAUCAUUGGGCGUAAAGCGCGCGUAGGCGGUCCGAUAAGUCGGAUGUGAAAUCCCUCGGCUCAACCGAGGAAGGGCAUCCGAAACUGCCGGGCUUGAGUACGGAAGAGGGUCUCGGAAUUCCCGGUGUAGAGGUGAAAUUCGUAGAUAUCGGGAGGAACACCAGUGGCGAAGGCGGAGACCUGGGCCGAUACUGACGCUGAGGUGCGAAAGCGUGGGGAGCAAACAGG